AAGAGGGUUAAAUAGUACGUGAAAUUGNUGAAAGGGAAGCGCUCACGACCAGACUUGAGCCCGGUGAAUCAUCCAGCGUUCUCGCUGGUGCACUUCGCCGGGCCCAGGCCAGCAUCGGUUCGCCGCGGGGGAGAAAGGCGUCGGGAACGUGGCUCCCUCGGGAGUGUUAUAGCCCGUCGCACAAUACCCUGGGGCGGACCGAGGUUCGCGCAUCUGCAAGGAUGCUGGCGUAAUGGUCGUCAGCGACCCGUCUUGAAACACGGACCAAGGAGUCGUCUUCGUAUGCGAGUGUUCGGGUGUAAAACCCCUACGCGUAAUGAAAGUGAACGCAGGUGAGAGCUUCGGCGCAUCAUCGACCGAUCCUGAUGUUCUCGGAUGGAUUUGAGUAAGAGCAUACGGGGCCGGACCCGAAAGAAGGUGAACUAUGCCUGUGUAGGGUGAAGCCAGAGGAAACUCUGGUGGAGGCUCGCAGCGGUUCUGACGUGCAAAUCGAUCGUCAAACAUGGGCAUGGGGGCGAAAGACUAAUCGAACCUUCUAGUAGCUGGUUUCCGCCGAAGUUUCCCUCAGGAUAGCAGUGUUGAUCUCAGUUUUAUGAGGUAAAGCGAAUGAUUAGGGACCCGGGGGCGCUAUUAAGCCUUCAUCCAUUCUCAAACUUUAAAUAUGUAAGAAGCCCUUGUUGCUUAAUUGAACGUGGGCAUUCGAAUGUAUCAACACUAGUGGGCCAUUUUUGGUAAGCAGAACUGGCGAUGCGGGAUGAACCGAACGCGAGGUUAAGGUGCC
rnacentral:rRNA from 1 species